UAGGCCCUGAAUCAUGACCAGCAGUUUGCUGUAGCUGUUGGUUUCAAAUAGGAGCCAAGGGGAAUGUUUUCCUUAUGAUCUGCUGCCUAUUAACUAUCCCAAUGAGAAUAGCCAGUUCAGUUAGAAGAACCAUAC
rfam:Tupaia chinensis contig44495, whole genome shotgun sequence.